GGGCUGCAGUGAGGAAUUUUCCACAAUGGACGAAAGUCUGAUGGAGCGACGCCGUGUGUGUGAUGAAGUCCUUCGGGACGUAAAACACUGUCAGGGGGGACGAUUUUGACGGUACCCCCAGAGGAAGGCCCGGCUAACUACGUGCCAGCAGCCGCGGUAAUACGUAGGGGCCAAGCGUUGUCCGGAAUUACUGGGCGUAAAGAGUGUGUAGGUGGCUUUGUAAGUCCGAUGUUAAAUCUCCCGGCUCAACCGGGAACGUGCGUUGGAUACUGCUUAGCUUCGAGAAUAGUAGAGGAAAGCGGAACUUCCGGUGUAGCGGUGAAAUGCGUAGAUAUCGGAAGGAACACCAGUGGCGAAGGCGGCUUUCUGGGCUAUUUCUGACGCUGAGACACGAAAGCCAGGGGAGCAAACGGGAUUAGAUACCCCAGUAGUC
rnacentral:rRNA from 1 species